GUAGGUGGCAAGCGUUGUCCGGAAUUAUUGGGCGUAAAGCGCGCGCAGGUGGUUCCUUAAGUCUGAUGUGAAAGCCCCCGGCUCAACCGGGGAGGGUCAUUGGAAACUGGGGAACUUGAGUGCAGGAGAGGAAAGUGGAAUUCCACGUGUAGCGGUGAAAUGCGUAGAUAUGUGGAGGAACACCAGUGGCGAAGGCGACUUUCUGGCCUGUAACUGACACUGAGGCGCGAAAGCGUGGGGAGCAAACAGGGAUUAGAUACCCUGGUAGUCCACGCCGUAAACGAUGAGUGCUAAGUGUUGGGGGGGUUUCCCGCCCCUCAGUGCUGCAGCUAACGCAUUAAGCACUCCGCCUGGGGAUACGGUCGCAAGACUG
rnacentral:rRNA from 1 species